rnacentral:rRNA from 1 species
UGGGGAAUAUUGCACAAUGGGCGCAAGCCUGAUGCAGCAACGCCGCGUGAGGGAUGACGGCCUUCGGGUUGUAAACCUCUUUUAGCAGGGAAGAAGCGAAAGUGACGGUACCUGCAGAAAAAGCACCGGCUAACUACGUGCCAGCAGCCGCGGUAAUACGUAGGGUGCAAGCGUUGUCCGGAAUUAUUGGGCGUAAAGAGCUCGUAGGCGGUCUGUCGCGUCUGCUGUGAAAUCCCGAGGCUCAACCUCGGGCCUGCAGUGGGUACGGGCAGACUAGAGUGCGGUAGGGGAGAAUGGAACUCCUGGUGUAGCGGUGGAAUGCGCAGAUAUCAGGAAGAACACCGAUGGCGAAGGCAGUUCUCUGGGCCGUAACUGACGCUGAGGAGCGAAAGCGUGGGGAGCGAACAGGAUUAGAUACCCUGGUAGUCCACGCCGUAAACGUUGGGCGCUAGAUGUGGGGACCAUUCCACGGUUUCCGUGUCGCAGCUAACGCAUUAAGCGCCCC